rnacentral:misc_RNA from 1 species
GUGAAUCAUCGAAUUUUUGAACGCAAAUUGCACUCUCUUGGGAGAGUAUGCCUGUUUGAGGGUCAGCCUAAAAAAAAUCGACAUAGUUGCUGUUACGCGAUAACAUUCGUCGGAAAUUGGGUCAUCUUAAACCUUUUGGUUUAAGCGGCUUAAAAUUUUCUUUACUAUUCCGAGUAUGUUUCCAUGAUUUUAUUUUCUUAUACGUUUAAGUUAUCGAUCUUUAUUAUUCUUAGCCGUUGCAUCGGC